AAAAAAUUAGAGUGUUCAAAGCAGGCAGAUCCAAUUUUCUGCCACCGAAUACAUUAGCAUGGGAUAAUGGAAUAGGACCCUGUCCGCCUAUUUUCAGUUGGUUUUGGCAGCGCGAGGACUAGGGUAAUGAUUAAUAGGGAUAGUUGGGGGCAUUAAUAUUUAAUUGUCAGAGGUGAAAUUCUUGGAUUUAUGAAAGAUUAACUUCUGCGAAAGCAUCUGCCAAGGAUGUUUUCAUUAAUCAAGAACGAAAGUUAGGGGAUCGAAGACGAUCAGAUACCGUCGUAGUCUUAACCAUAAACGAUGCCGACCAGCGAUUAGGAGACGUUGAAUACAAAACAACACCAUCGGCGCGGUCGUCCUUGGCGUCUGUCCCUUUCAACGGGGGCAGGCGCGAGGGCGGUUUAGCCCGGUGGCACCGGUGAAU
rnacentral:rRNA from 3 species